rnacentral:misc_RNA from 1 species
UCGUAACAAGGUUUCCGUAGGUGAACCUGCGGAAGGAUCAUUACCGAGUGCGGGCCCCUCGGGGCCCAACCUCCCACCCGUGUUGCCCGAACCUAUGUUGCCUCGGCGGGCCCCGCGCCCGCCGACGGCCCCCCUGAACGCUGUCUGAAGUUGCAGUCUGAGACCUAUAACGAAAUUAGUUAAAACUUUCAACAACGGAUCUCUUGGUUCCGGCAUCGAUGAAGAACGCAGCGAAAUGCGAUAACUAAUGUGAAUUGCAGAAUUCAGUGAAUCAUCGAGUCUUUGAACGCACAUUGCGCCCUCUGGUAUUCCGGAGGGCAUGCCUGUCCGAGCGUCAUUGCUGCCCUCAAGCCCGGCUUGUGUGUUGGGCCCCGUCCCCCCCGCCGGGGGGACGGGCCCGAAAGGCAGCGGCGGCACCGCGUCCGGUCCUCGAGCGUAUGGGGCUUCGUCACCCGCUCUAGUAGGCCCGGCCGGCGCCAGCCGACCCCCAACCUUUAAUUAUCUCAGGUUGACCUCGGAUCAGGUAGGGAUACCCGCUGAACUUAAGCAUAUCA